AGAGUUUGAUCAUGGCUCAGAACGAACGCUGGCGGCGUGCCUAACACAUGCAAGUCCGACGUGAAAGGGGAGCAAUCCCCCGGUAGGGUGGCAAACGGGUGAGUAAGACAUGGGUGAUCUGCCCUGGAGAUGGGGAUAUCCCUCCGAAAGGGGGGGCAAUACCGAAUAGUAUCCGGUUCCGUGAAGGGGGCCGGGGAAAGGGAGGCCUCUGGUACAAGCUUCCGCUCCUGGAUGAGCCCAUGGCCCAUCAGCUAGUUGGUAGGGUAAAGGCCAACCAAGGCGACGACGGGUAGCUGGUCUGAGAGGACAACCAGCCACACUGGCACUGAGACACGGGCCAGACUCCUACGGGAGGCAGCAGUGAGGAAUAUUGCGCAAUGGGGGCAACCCUGACGCAGCAACGCCGCGUGUGGGAAGAAGGCUUUCGGGUUGUAAACCACUUUUGCCCGGGACGAAAGGGGGGGCCUGAAUAAGGUCACCCGAUGACGGUACCGGGAGAAUAAGCCACGGCUAACUCUGUGCCAGCAGCCGCGGUAAGACAGAGGUGGCAAGCGUUGUUCGGAGUUACUGGGCGUAAAGAGUCUGUAGGUGGUCUGUCAAGUCUUUGGUGAAAGGCCGUGGCUUAACCAUGGGAAUGCCAAAGAGACUGGCAGACUGGAGGCUGGGAGAGGGAAGCGGAAUUUCUGGUGUAGCGGUGAAAUGCGUAGAUAUCAGAAGGAAGGCCGGUGGCGAAGGCGGCUUCCUGGAACAGACCUGACACUGAUAGACGAAAGCGUGGGGAGCAAACAGGAUUAGAUACCCUGGUAGUCCACGCCCUAAACGAUGGGUACUAAGUGUGGGAGGGUUAUACCUCCCGUG
rnacentral:rRNA from 1 species